rnacentral:tRNA from 1 species
AGGCGCGUAGCUCAGUUGGUUAGAGCAUCACCUUGACAUGGUGGGGGUCGUUGGUUCGAAU